AGAACCUGAACCCUACUGUUGGACUGGAUUCUGGGCUUGCUGCCCUGAGCUUCUUCAUCCACAGCUGGGAAGAAUAACAGAUGCCCAGGACCUGUUCUUGGGGAGAUACUCCAGUGCUUGACCGGGAGCUGGGGGGAGAAGGAACCACACACCCAGCUCGAGUGGCUUCCAUCAGGCAGAAACUGGCACGGCCAGGGAGAGUUAUUGGCGGACACAACAUCUUUGUAUGUGGUGCUGAGGAUCGAACCUGGGCCGCACGCAUGCCAGGUUCGCCACCCAUGUUGAUGUGUCCUGCCGGCCGGGACAUUUGGCGCCCAAUGUGUGCCUUAGCCUUUGACUGAGGGGGAAUGCCGUCCUCCGGGAAGACUUGGCCAAGCGGAGCUCGCGAUCGCCUCGGCAGACACCACCGAGAGACAGAUCCAGGAGGAGAGUGGGGACGACGCACGAUGCAGCCAACAAUCUGUGUGAGGAUCCUGCUUAAGGCACUUCUGCUGAACAGGUUCGCCGCCCACGUUGAUGUGUCCUGCUGGCCGGGACAGAACCUGGCUGUAUUUUCCAUCCUUGAUAUCCUUCUGUCUGUUCAAGAACCAGUCUGGGAUCUUGUACUGUUGUGGAUUCUGCAUAAUGGUGAUCACACGUUCAACCUCAUCUUCAGUGAGUUCUCCAGCCCUCUUGGUGAGGUCAAUGUCUGCUUUCCUCAACACCACAUGAGCAUACCUUUGCCCCACACCCUUAAUGGCAGUGAUGGCAAAGGCUAUUUUCCGCUGUCCAUCGAUGUUUGUGUUGAGUACUCGCAAAAAGUGCUGGAACUUUUCAGGAAUCACUAGAGACAUGGCAGCAGCAGAGCGUGUAGGCCUCCUGUGUAAGCGGGGACUGGUUUUAAAGGAAAGGAAAUAAAAUGCUAAUAACUUCAGGACACCUCCCCCUCCUCCAACCUGUUGCCAGGGUUACCUGCCUCCAUGGAACUGUUCUUCCCAACAAAGAUUUGUUAAUGAAUGACCCCUGGACUGCUCAUCUGAACCCCUGGAAGGGUCCUUGUCCACCUUUUGAUCAAGGUGUUCAAACUUUGGCACCAGGGAAACGGGACUUGGAUUCUCCACACCUGCAUCAUCGUCAUCCACAUAGUCAUCUUCAAUACUGCUAAGGACGGACAUUUGGGUUCAGGUCAACCUCUAGCUUCCGGAAGCCCUUGGAGACCACACCUGGCUGGAUGUCCAAGAUACCCUGAGGGAGGCUGGGCCCCUGCUGUUAGCAGUAAAGCAUGGCAGAACCUUACAGUGGCUUCACUUUCUGGAAAUAGACAAGUUGAACAAUAGGCUGCUGAAGCACAUACCAGAAAAUCCAGCAAUUUUAGAAAGUGUGGGCGGGUAUGCCAGGGGAUAGGGUAUUCUCAGUGGCAUCACAGUGCAGCUGGCCCUUCCUUACCAGGUCUAAGAUCAUCCUCUCCUGCUCCUGCCCAGAAGAUCUCUUCAGCAAAUAGAUAAUUCUCCUUUUGAAAAGAUCCCACAGUGGUUUCCCUGCAGGGGGCCCAGCCGUGCCUAGGAAUCCAUGCUUCUUAUUCUAUCUUUGUUUCCAGGUGGGAAGAGGCUUUCAGGACCAACCGUCAUUGAUACAUGAUGGAUGAGAAAGAACAUUGCCAAUGCCACUCAGCAAUGGGAGUUGGAAGGGAGGUGAAGAUGUUGAUCAUUUGAGCAUGAGGGGAUUACAGCUGAGGAAGGAAUGCCCAGACCCUAGGGUGUUCAGGAUGAAGGGGUUGACGAGGACCUUGGCAUGUGGCUUAUUUCUUUCUCCUGAUCUCACAGAUACACCUCCAGAGGGUCACGUCUUGGAAUUCUGCUUCCUCAGUGGCAGUGCUCUGUUCUGGUGCCGAGUUGUUCAAGAGGAACAGUUUCAGAGAGGGAUGAGGUGUUUGGCAUGAUCUGUCUGGAGAUUGACUUUUUUCCUUGGGUCUCAGGAAGCAUUUGCAUGCACACUGCAUCCUAGAUACUGGCCCUCUG